GACGAACGCUGGCGGCGUGCCUAACACAUGCAAGUCGAACGCAGUGGGGACGGGUGAGUAACACGUGGGUAACCUGCCAUCAGAGGGGAUACCACUUGGAAACAGGUGCUAAACCGAUACUGAUGGAUGAACCCGCGGUGCAUUGGCUAGCUGGUGGGGUAACGGCUCACCAAGGCGACGAUGCAUAGCCGGCCUGAGAGGUUGAUCAGCCACACUGGGACUGAGACACGGCCCAGACUCCUACGGGAGGCAGCAGUAGGGAAUCUUGUGCAAUGGACGAAAGUCUGACCGAGCAACGCCGCGUGAGUGAAGAAGGUUUUCGGAUCGUAAAACACUUUUGUUAGAGAAGCGGUAUCUAACCAGAAAGCCACGGCUAACUCCGUGCCAGCAGCCGCGGUAAUUC
rnacentral:rRNA from 1 species